rfam:Asian citrus Psyllid, Diaphorina citri - Florida Strain, whole genome shotgun sequence.
GCCUAGUUAGCUUAGUUGGUAGCGCGUCUGCCUUGUAAGCGCUAGGCCGCGGGUUCGAAUCCCGCCCGGGGUG